GAUGAACGCUGGCGGCGUGCCUAAUACAUGCAAGUCGAGCGGCAGCACGGUCUUCGGACUGGUGGCGAGCGGCGGACGGCUGAGUAACGCGUAGGAACAUGCCCUAAAGUGAGGAAUAACUGACCGAAAGGGUGGCUAAUGCCGCAUGUGCUCUUCGGAGUAAAGCUUUAUGCGCUUUAGGAGUGGCCUGCGGCCGAUUAGCUAGUUGGUGAGGUAAAUGCUCACCAAGGCGACGAUCGGUAGCUGGUCUGAGAGGAUGAUCAGCCAGACUGAAACUGAGAACGGUCCAGACUCCUACGGGAGGCAGCAGUAGGGAAUUUUCCACAAUGGGCGAGAGCCUGAUGGAGCAACGCCGCGUGCAGGAUGAAUGCCUUCGGGUUGUAAACUGCUUUUAUGUGCGAAGAAUUUGACGGUAACACAUGAAUAAGGAUCGGCUAACUACGUGCCAGCAGCCGCGGUAA
rnacentral:rRNA from 1 species